AUUCUGGCCUGGGAGCUCAUGAACAGCACAUAGCCUCCUUGUCUGGGCGGGAGGUAUAUUAGCCUCCAGAGAAUGCCAGAGAUAUUAGGAGGGGAAUCUGUGAACAGAAAAAUGUAGAAGGAAAUCAAAAAGGGGUGCCUGGGUUUGAUCCUGGUCAGGGGAACUAGAUACCUCAGGCUGCGAAGAGUUUGAAUGCCACAACUAAAGAUCCUGCGGGCUGCAACUAAGACCUGGAGCAUCCAGAUAAAAACAGUCCCUGUGGCAGGCGUGGAGAUGCAGAUACUGUUCAGAUCCUUCCUCUAGAAAGGACUCACUUUUGCUGUGGGGAGUAUGAUUAGCAGUCACCAGCUGGCAGUCACUCCUUGCGAGCAUGGCCUCAGCCAGUGCCUGGACAGGACGGUGACGCGACGACCUUGCCACUUCUGUGCCUAACACGGGGUUCCUCUAAGGGGCUCUUUGCUUUGGAGCUUCCUGUAGGUCUGGCGUUUGUCAGAUCUGCAUCUCAGUGUCUCACAGCUCCUCCUUCUUGAUCCUGCUUCCUCCCCUUUCUGUCAUGAAUGUUACUCUGACUAAAUCCUCUGGACUCCUAAUUCCAUCGGGUAUCUGCUUUGUUGGGUACUCACAGUUUCUUUCCUUCAUAAUCUUUGCAGUGCAAGACCCCACUCCCAACACACAGCGGGUGUUCUCCCAGAGAAUCUGUCCUUCCCCCACUGUCUGAGCAGCAGGGCACUCUGAAGCAAGAAUCCUCUGUAACUGUGGUUCCUGCCAGUCUGAAUUUUUCUAUGAGGGACUGAGGAGAAAACAGCAGGGUGGGCUUUGGCUAUAUCAGGCCAGCACAAUAGUGCAAGGCCAGCCCUGGA
ensembl:lncRNA